AUGGAGGAUGUGAUCUUCGAGGGUGGGCAUGGCCGUGCCUACGACCCCGACGAGACCCUAAGUCAGGAUGGCCGUGCCCAGUACGUUGCCGAUGAAGAGGCCGACGACCGUGCUGACUACGACCAUGGUGACUCGUGGCAUGAAGACGAUGACAUCUAUUGCGAAGGAGAUGGUGAUGAAGAAGAAGUCAAUGACAUUGAUAUUGGUGGCGAGCCAUUGUUCAUCGACGAGCUCACCCAAAGAGUGGAAGCACAAAAGAGGAGGAAGAGCAUUCGCACGGGUUCAUAUACACAAGAUGAGGACAAGUUGAUUUGCCAAUGUUGGAUGGAGAUUAGCCAAGAUCCGAAGACCGACGCGCAACAAAAGGGCCUUGUUUUUGGGACGAGAGUCCACAAAACAUUUCAUGAAAGGAAGAUGUUUGAGCCCUAUCAAAUUACAAGCAACUGUGGCAUCACCUCGAUUCAAAAGAGGUGGUUGUUCAUCCAAGAGUAUAACAAGUAUUGCGCCGCAUUUGAGAGCGUUGAAGCACAGCCUGUGAGUGGUCUCGGCGUUGGGGACAUGGUAUGA
rnacentral:rRNA from 1 species